rnacentral:rRNA from 1 species
AACGAACGCUGGCGGCAUGCCUAACACAUGCAAGUCGAACGAGACCUUCGGGUCUAGUUGCGCACGGGUGCGUAACGCGGGGGAACCUGCCCUUAGGUUCGGAAUAACUCCCCGAAAGGGGUGCUAAUACCGGAUAAUGUCUUCGGACCAAAGAUUUAUCGCUUUUGGAUGGGCCCGCGUUGGAUUAGCUAGUUGGUAGGGUAAAAGCCUACCAAGGCGAUGAUGCAUAGCUGGUCUGAGAGGAUGAUCAGCCACACUGGGACUGAGACACGGCCCAGACUCCUAGGGGAGGGAGCAGUAGGGAAUAUUGGACAAUGGGCGAAAGCGUGGUCCAGCAAUGCCGCGUGAGUGAUGAAGGCCUUAGGGUUGUAAAGCUCUUUUACCCGGGAUGAUAAUGACAGUACCGGGAGAAUAAGCUCCGGCUAACUACGUG